rnacentral:rRNA from 1 species
UACGGGGGGGGGCAAGCGUUGUUCGGAAUUACUGGGCGUAAAAGGGCUCGUAGGUGGCCAACUAAGUCAGACGUGAAAUCCCUCGGCUUAACCGAGGAACUGCCUGUCAGACUGUAAGGCUUGAGACCGGGAGAGGUGAGUGGAAUUUCCCAGUGUAGCGGUGAAAUGCUUUAGAUAUCGGGAGGAACACCAGUGGCGAAGGCGGUGCUCUGGGCCGGAACUGACGCUGAGGGAGCGAAAGCGUGGGUAGCAAACAGG